rnacentral:lncRNA from 1 species
UUAGGAAUUAAGGGCAAGAAUACCAUUAAAGUGAAGCACUAAGAUGAGAGCUUUGCAAAUUCUUACUACCUCAUUUAUACUAAGGAGGGAAACUGACCCAAUCACUGCUGCUAGUAUUAAGAAAGCCUUAUUUCACACAAUGAAGCUAUUAAACAGUUUUCAUCUCUAAGGACAAAAAAUGAAGAAGGAGGAGGAGGACAGCAGGCAAAGAAGGUGGC